AAGAGAGCCGACAGGAUCCAAAGUACCACGGGACACGAGGAAUCCCGUGGGAAGACGGGGGGACCACCCUCCAAGCCUAAAUACUACCCAGUGACCGAUAGCGUAUAGUACUGUGAAGGAACGGUGAAAAGAACCCCGGGAGGGGAGUGAAAAGAACCUGAAACUCUGUGCUUACAAGCACAUAGAGCACGUCAAUGUGUGAUAUGGUACCUUUUGUAGAAUGGUCCGGCGAGUUAUGGUAUGCAGCGUGGUUAAGGACUUCAGGUCUGAAGCCGAAGCGAGAGCGAGUCUGACAAGGGCGAAAAGUUGUAUGCCAUAGACCCGAAACCGGGUGACCUAGCCAUGUCCAGGCUGAAGUGGAGGUAAAACUCCAUGGAGGGCCGAACCGACCUCCGUUGAAAAGGCGGCGGAUGAGAUGUGGCUAGCGGAGAAAUUCCAAUCGAACCCGGAUAUAGCUGGUUCUCCCCGAAAUAGCUUUAGGGCUAGCGUUGUAUUAGAUUACCGGAGGUAAAGCACUGAAUGGGCUAGGGGCUGAGAAGUUACUGAACCCUAUCAAACUAAGAAUGCCGGAUAAUUGAUGUACAACAGUCAGACUAUGUGAGAUAAGUCUCAUAGUCAAAAGGGAAACAGCCCAGACCCACAGCUAAGGUCCCAAAAUGGAUUUAAGUGGAAAAGGAUGUGGAAUUGCACAGACAACCAGGAUGUUGGCUUAGAAGCAGCCACUCAUUAAAAGAGUGCGUAAUAGCUCACUGGUCGAGUGACUCUGCGCCGAAAAUUUAACGGGGCUAAACUAUACACCGAAGCUUGGGAUACAUCUAAUGUAUGGUAGGAGAGCGUUCUGUAUGGGGAGAAGUCGUAGCGAAAGCGGCGGUGGACUAUACAGAAGUGAGAAUGCCGGAAUAAGUAGCGAGAAUUAAGUGAGAAUCUUAAUGGCCGAAAGUCUAAGGUUUUUGGAGGAAGGUUCGUCCGCUCCAAGUAAGUCGGGAGCUAAGGUCAGGCCGAAAGGCGUAGCCGAUGCACAUACGGUUGAUAUUCCGUAACCAUCUGUAAUUUAAGCAAAGGGACACUUCAAAAGGGUGUGACCCGGGCGUUGGUUGACCCGGGCGUAAGGGACCGAAAUUAGAGUAGGGAAGCACACUUGGCUGAAGGCGAGAAAAGCUUUGUGUAUAGAAGCAGAUGCCCGUACCGCAAACCGACACAGGUGGACAGGAAGAGAAUUCUAAGGCCAGCGGGAGAAGGGUAGUUAAGGAACUCGGCAAAUUGACUCCGUAACUUCGGAAUAAGGAGUGCUCGAAAGAGCCGCAGAGAAUAGGCCCAGGCGACUGUUUAGCAAAAACACAGGUCUCUGCCAAAUCGAAAGAUGAAGUAUAGGGGCUGACACCUGCCCGGUGCCGGAAGGUUAAGAGGAGGAGUGAGAGCUCCGAAUUGAAGCCCCGGUAAACGGCGGCCGUAACUAUAACGGUCCUAAGGUAGCGAAAUUCCUUGUCGGGUAAGUUCCGACCCGCACGAAUGGUGUAAUGAUCUGGACACUGUCUCAACAACGCACCCGGCGAAAUUGUAGUACCGGUGAAGAUGCCGGUUACCCGCGGCAAGACGGAAAGACCCCAUGGAGCUUUACUGUAGCCUGAUAUUGGGUUUCGGAAAUCUAUGUACAGGAUAGGCGGGAGACUGGGAAACAUGAGCGUCAGCUUGUGUGGAGUCGAUGUUGGGAUACCGCCCUUAGGUUUCUGGAAUUCUAACCUGCGGCCGUGAAUCCGGUCGGGGGACAUUGUCAGGUGGGCAGUUUGACUGGGGCGGUCGCCUCCGAAAAGGUAACGGAGGCGCUCAAAGGUUAGCUCAGCACGUCCGCCUCGGGCGCUUCGGCCUUGGCAUAGCGGAAGAAGAUCGCAGCCAGCUGCUCGCGGGUGACCGGCUCGGACGGGGCGAACUUGUUGCCACCGACGCCGUUGACGAUGCCGUUUGCGGCGGCCCAGGCGAUCGCAUCGGAGUACCACUGGCCGUCAGCCACAUCCGUGAAGCCGGACGGAGCGUCGACAGUCGGGCUGCCCGCCAUGCGGUAGAGCACGGUGACGAGCAUGGCGCGCGUCAGGGUGUCCUUCGGUGCAAACGUCGUAGAGGUCGUGCCGACCAUGAGGCCGUUCUCGAUCACGAAGCAGAUGCCUUCCUUCGCCCAAUCCGUCGGGAUGUCUGUGUAGGCAGCGCACUUGU
rnacentral:rRNA from 1 species